AACGCACAUUGCGCCCAUUGGUAUUCCAUUGGGCAUGUCUGUUUGAGCGUCAUUACAACCCUCGGUCACCACCGGUUCUGAGCUGGCUUGGGCUCACGCCCUGCCUGCUUUAAAGUUGUAAGCUCUGCUGGCCGCUCUGCCCAACCAGAACAUAGUAAAGCACUACUUGUUCAACGGUCAAGCUGAGACGGUCCGGCCUGAACAAAACCAUCUCUUUCAAGGUUUGACCUCAGAUCAGACAAGGAUACCCGCUGAACUUAA
rnacentral:misc_RNA from 1 species